CCUACGGGUGGCAGCAGUGGGGGAUAUUGCACAAUGGGGGGAACCCUGAUGCAGCGACGCCGCGUGGGUGAAGAAGCGCCUCGGCGCGUAAAGCCCUGUCAGCAGGGAAGAAAAUGACGGUACCUGACUAAGAAGCCCCGGCUAACUACGUGCCAGCAGCCGCGGUAAUACGUAGGGGGCAAGCGUUAUCCGGAUUUACUGGGUGUAAAGGGAGCGUAGACGGCUGUGCAAGCCAGAUGUGAAAGCCCGGGGCUCAACCCCGGGACUGCAUUUGGAACUGUGUGGCUGGAGUGUCGGAGAGGCAGGCGGAAUUCCUAGUGUAGCGGUGAAAUGCGUAGAUAUUAGGAGGAACACCAGUGGCGAAGGCGGCCUGCUGGACGAUGACUGACGUUGAGGCUCGAAAGCGUGGGGAGCAAACAGGAUUAGAUACCCCGGUAGUC
rnacentral:rRNA from 1 species